CCUCUUGAUUAAACCAUAAGAGGUCCAGCCUGCCCAGUGACAUUGUUCAACGGCCGCGGUAUCCUAACCGUGCGAAGGUAGCGUAAUCACUUGUCCUUUAAAUGAAGACUAGUAUGAAUGGCCCCACGAAAGCUAUACUGUCUCCUUUUUCUAAUCAGUUAAACUAAUCUCCCCGUGAAGAAGCGGGGAUAAACAUAUAAGACGAGAAGACCCUAUGGAGCUUCAAACAACUGAAACACUUGUAUAUCCUCCCCUCACCUGCCAACAUUUAACCUCACAUUUUUGUUUCUAGUUUUAGGUUGGGGUGACCACGGAGAAAAAACUAACCUCCACGACGAAAGAGACAUCUCUAAACAAAAAGCUACAUCUUUAUGUAUUAACACAUUAACCUUUAUUGACCCAAUAAAUUGAUCAACGAACC
rnacentral:rRNA from 1 species